AAGAAGUCGUGGUUCGGUUAAUCAGGAGACAGCCGAGAUAAAGAAAGUCUUCAUGAGAUUUAAUGUGAUGGUUAAUUACGUAAUGAAAGGGUGGCUGAUAAUUGUUCAUGGCUGUUGCAUCAUGUCAUGAUCACUUGACAUGUUUAUUCUAAAGAUUUCUUGUUCCAUCACUUUUCAUUUAGACUUAUCAAGUACAAAGAUGAGAAAUAUCUUAAAACCUAUUCUAUUAGAGAACGUACGGUGUGUUCAUAAUGACAAUGAACAUUUUUGUC